rnacentral:rRNA from 1 species
GGACCCUUCGGGGUUAGCGGCGGACGGGUGAGUAACACGUGGGUAAUCUGCCCAACUGACUGGAAUAACGCCUGGAAACGGGUGCUAAUGCCGGAUAGGCAACUGGUAGGCAUCUACCGGUUGGGAAAGGUGCAACUGCACCGCAGAUGGAGGAGCCCGCGGCGCAUUAGCUAGUUGGUGGGGUAACGGCUCACCAAGGCAACGAUGCGUAGCCGACCUGAGAGGGUGACCGGCCACACUGGGACUGAGACACGGCCCAGACUCCUACGGGAGGCAGCAGUAGGGAAUCUUCCACAAUGGGCGCAAGCCUGAUGGAGCAACGCCGCGUGAGUGAAGACGGCCUUCGGGUUGUAAAGCUCAGUCACUCGGGAAGAGCGGACGAGGGAGUGGAAAGCCCUCGUCGAGACGGUACCGAGAGAGGAAGCCCCGGCUAACUACGUG